rnacentral:rRNA from 1 species
AUUGAACGCUGGCGGCAGGCUUAACACAUGCAAGUCGAGCGGAGAUGAGGUGCUUGCACCUUAUCUUAGCGGCGGACGGGUGAGUAAUGCUUAGGAAUCUGCCUAUUAGUGGGGGACAACAUUCCGAAAGGAAUGCUAAUACCGCAUACGCCCUACGGGGGAAAGCAGGGGAUCUUCGGACCUUGCGCUAAUAGAUGAGCCUAAGUCGGAUUAGCUAGUUGGUGGGGUAAAGGCCUACCAAGGCGACGAUCUGUAGCGGGUCUGAGAGGAUGAUCCGCCACACUGGGACUGAGACACGGCCCAGACUCCUACGGGAGGCAGCAGUGGGGAAUAUUGGACAAUGGGCGGAAGCCUGAUCCAACCAUGCCGCGUGUGUGAAGAAGGUCUUUUGGUUGUAAAGCACUUUAAGCGAGGAGGAGGCUACCUGGAUUAAUACUCUAGGAUAGUGGACGUUACUCGCAGAAUAAGCACCGGCUAACUCUGUGCCAGCAGCCGCGGUAAUAC